rnacentral:tRNA from 1 species
UGUCUUGUAUUCAAUUAUGAUUUUAGACUGCAAUUCUAAAGGUGUGGUUUUUCACUAAGGCUU